GCUUACGGCCAUACCAACCUGGCUAUGCCCGAUCUCGUCUGAUCUCGGAAGCUAAGCAGGUUGAGCCUGGUUAGUACUUGGAUGGGAGACCGCCUGGGAAAUACCGGGUGCUGUAAGCU
rnacentral:rRNA from 1 species